rnacentral:rRNA from 1 species
CCCUUAGAUGUUCUGGGCCGCACGCGCGCUACACUGAUGAAUUCAACGAGCACUAACCUGUGCCGAAAGGUUCGGGUAAUCUUGUGAAAUUUCAUCGUGAUGGGGAUUGAUUAUUGCAAUUUUUAAUCAUAAACGAGGAAUGCCUAGUAAGCGUGAGUCAUCAGCUCACGUUGAUUACGUCCCUGCCCUUUGUACACACCGCCCGUCGCACCAAUUGAUUGGAUGACUCGAUGAAAAAUCAGGACUGAGAUUUCUUUUGCUUCAUUGCAGAGGAAGUUUUGGGAAUCUUUUUAAAUCUCGUUAUCUAGAGAUUGGUGAAGUCGUAACA